rnacentral:lncRNA from 1 species
UGUCUUUUCAGGGCCACACCCUCGGCACAUGGAGGUUCCCAGGCUAGGGGUCUAAUCGGAGCUGCAACUGCAGCAACAAAGGAUAUGAGCUGAAUCUGCAACCUACAGCUUGUGGCAAUGCCGGAUCCUUAAGCUGCACUGAGCAAGGCCAGGAAUCAAAUUCGCAUCCUAAGGGAUACUAGUCGGGUUCUUAACCCACUGAGCCACAGUGAGAACUCCAUCUAUGUGUAUCUUUGAAUCUAAAGUGUCUUGGAGAUAGCAUAGAGUUGGGUUUUUUUUUUAACUUAUUCUGUCAAUUUCUGUCUCUUUAUUGGAGCAAUUAAUAUACUGACUGAUAGGAUUUAUGUCCUUUUGCUAUUCGUUUUCUACGUGGUCUGAUAUGUCUUUGUUCCUAUCGUCUUCCAUUCCUCCCUUCCUUGGUGUUAAACAGGUAUUUUCUGGCAUACCAUUUUAAUUCUCUUUCAUUACAUAUUUAAAAUUAUUUUCUUAGUGGUUGCCCUGGAGAUGACAACUAACAUUUUAACUUAAAACAAUCUGGCUCUGAUUAAUGCCAACUUAAUUUUAAUACACACAAAAACUUUGCUCGAAUAUAGCUUUCUUCCCCUUUUAUUAUGCUAUUAUUAUACUAAUGACGUCUUUGUACAUUAUAAGCUUGUCAAUACAGUUUUAUAAUUCUUGCUUUACACCGAUAAGAAAAGAGUUACAACAAAAUACCUUUCUACCUUUAAAGGUGCUCCUCAUCUCAUGUGAAUUUGAGUCACUGUCUCGGGUCCUUUCACUUCGGCCUGAAGGGUUCCCUAUAGUAUUUCGUGGAGGGCAGGUCUCAUAGCAACACAUUCAGGUUUUAUUUAUCUGGGAUGUCUUGAUUUCACCUUCUUUUUUUUUCUUUUUCACCUGUGCCUGCAGGUUAUGGAAGUUCCUGGGCCAGGGACCAAAUCCGAGGCUCAGAUGUGACCUAUGCCACGACUAUCCCGCAGCAAUGCUGGAUCCUUAACCUGCUGUGCCACAGCAGGAACUCGCAUCCCCUUCAGUUUUCAAGAAUAUCAUUUUCUGGAUAUCGACUUCUUGUUGCCCAUCUUUUUGUCUCCGCACUGUCAUCCCAUUGCCUUCUGGCUUCCAGUUUCAGAUGAGAAGUUGACGGUUGGUCUGAUUAAGAAUCCUUUGUCUAGUGAAGUCUUACCCUUCAAUUCGGACUCAACCAUCUCUUUCUCCCUGGACUCCCUUUUGUAUAUGACCCCCCCCCCAGGGCUGCAUAGCUAUCAGAGAUGAUCAUGAUUGUAAUUAAACAAUCACAGAAGUAGCUCCCUAGUUUGUUUGCUUUUUUUUUUCUUUUUUAGGGCCACACCCAUAGCAUAUGGAGGUUCCCAGGCUAGGGGGUCCAAUUGGAGAGACAACAGCCAGCCUACGCCACAGCCACAGCCACGCAGGAUCCAAGCCGUGUCUGCGACUUACACCACAGCUGGAUCCUUAACCCACUGAGUGAGGCCAGGGAUCAAACCCACAACCUCAUGGCUCCUAGUCGGAUUCCCUUCCAGCGCACCACGAUGGGAACGCCCCUAGUUUGUUUCUAUCGCUAGAAUGUAAGCUCCAUAAGGACAAGGCAAGGAAUGAACCUGCUUUGUUCAGCACUCUAUCCCCAGAGGGAACACACUACUGGUCAUACUGUAGCCUUUCAAAAAAUAUUUACUGAGUAAAUAAAUGAAACUCGUCCUGAAGUCGGCCGAAUCACCAGGCGUCCAUCCUUCACUCUCUGUUACAGUAUGAGGCAGCCACGCUCGGCCACGGCCUAAUGGUGGGCAGUUUAUGUCCCUGCCCCCUGGCUUGGGAUUAGAGUCCAGCCUUCAGCUCCUGACUCACUGCUGUGUGGGCCCACCCUGUGGACAUUAGGUCACCAAGUGAGGCCAGCCCACAGUUGAGUCUGGCUGUCCCCCGGGCCUGUCCUCUCUGCCCUGACCUCAGAGUGACCUAGAUGCAAAGUCUCGAUUCUGUAAAGGCAAUUUAGAUUCCAUGCAGGGCCUUCUCACCCCGAGUUUCUCCCUUUGCUAAAUUAUCCCCCAACUCCCCGUCCGGGGUGACCCAGUUCACCACAUGCCACCCAAACCUGAAGAUGGGUUUGGGGAAAUCUGAGGCCAUCCAGCCUAAGAGGCCCUUUUACGUGAAGUGAGAAGCAUUGGAGGCAUUAUCUCUUCCACCAGUUGGAAAAAUCUCUGUCGUAACGGGACAGUUCUGAAACAAGAUGCUUCACAGCCCUUUGCGGGAAAAUUGCCAUCAUAAACCACAGACGGAAACCCUCUUCUGUGCGGUGCCCUCUUCCGUAUGGCACUCAACCCACAAAUACGCCUUUGGCAGACCCCACACCCACCUGCAGCUCAGGCCAAGCAAGACCCUCAAAGCGGCUGGUCACCUGUGCCACAGAAGCCUGCAGACGGGGCGAUCACGUGGCCAAGAGCCAUGCGCCCUUUCCACUGUGCUCAGGGCAGAAGCGUAAGGUCCGAACAAAGCCAGGGAGUGGGAGAAAGGGCUUUAUGUUCAGACCAGGGUCCCUGGUCCCCAAGCAGUGACUUUUGCAAAUGAGGGGAACCACCAGCAGGAUCAGAAGCUGGCGGUAAGAACGUCACUGCAGGGACCUCGGAAAAGCAGAGGGAUGACGUCUGGGAAAGGUGGGCAGCCUGGCGCUGCUCCAAACAUGGCCUGGCUGGAUCACGACUGUUUGGAGGUAGAAAGAAGUUCACAUUCAUCUCUGACCUUUUCGUGGUGAGCCUCGCCCAUGGUACCGAUGCCCCCGAUCAAACACCUGCCCAAACCCUGACAUUAACGAGGACAAGCACUGACAACUCUGAGACCAGUUGAAACUGGGUCGUUUCCUGCCACUAAUCUGUGUGAUUCAAUGACAUUAAAAAAGAAACCAGAAGAGAAUUCAUUUCUUUUUUUACUUGUAAAUGAGGCCCACUUAGAGCAGAACAAGUUCAAUGCGAAUCUUCUUAGACAAAGGAUCCCUGGGAGGCGGGGGGCGGUGCCAAAGAACUUGGGAUCCAGCCCUUGUUUCCUUUUCCUUAAUCUUUUUUUUUUUAUUUUUUUAUUUUUCGGGUGCACCUGCAGCAUAUGGAAGUUUCCAGGCCAGGGAUCGAAUCUGAGCCAGAGCUGUGACCUACACCAUAGCUGAGGACUGAAUUGGUGGCCUCCACAGAGACAAGAUGCAUUAACCCACCAAGUGCAGGAGGAACUCCUAGCCCUUGUUUUCUGAUCACCGCACCAAGCACCUCUUCAUCCAACCCCCUGUGCUCUACCUCGAAGAGAAAUAAACCUGGUUUCCAAAAACGAAGUCCAAAAUCAUAUACAUUCCUACAUUUCCCCUUCUAAAUUAAGCCAGUGUUCUCCAUUAACUUUCCACCGGGGAGAGAGAGAAAAGUGUUUAAAAUUGGGAACUAAAUUUAAAGUUAGGGAAAAAAUUAAAACUAGCCUUCACCAAGUGCAAAUGUUUGAAGUGGCUCUGCCUCCCAUUUUAAAAAGUUACAGGUCAAGCGACGCUCUGUUUGAAAGUUCACCUUGUCACAUCAGCCCAGGAAUCCAAGCGUUCAAGGGGGGUCAUGCAAAGACUCAAGGAUUGGUUCGAGGCAGCUUCUACGCUGGAUUUUAGCGAUAGGAGGGGCAUGUUCCACUACAUUUUUGGUGCUGGCAGGUGGGCACACUGUAUCAACAGGAUUCUUGGAUGGCGAGCAACAGAAACCAGGUCUGGUGGACUUAAGCAGAAAGGGACCUACCGGCAGGAUACCUGGUAACUCAGAACUGAUGGGAAGCCUGAAAAUCCCCACGUGGAAGAACACAGGAUCCCUCACAGCUGCAGAGCCGGGGCCUCAAGAAUAAGUGGCUCCAAUACCCUUUCCCUUCCUGCUUCGCCUCCUUAGAUUCCAGAUCCCGAAAGCCGGUCCAGCAGCGUGGCCCAACUUGGGCCAGACCCCAGGCCUUGACCUGGGUGAUGGCUACAUGAGUGUGUUCACUUUGUAAAAAUGAGACCAGCAGGAGUUCCCACUGUGUUCAAAGGGCUAAGGACCCAAUGUUGUCUCCGUGAGGAUGCAGGUCCGAUUCUGGCCUCGCUCAGUGGGUUAGGGAUCCAGCAUUGCCGCAGCUCAAUUCUACUCCUCACAGAAGUAAAAUAUAGAAGAGAAAUAACAUACAUAAAAGAAAUGAAAAUUAUGUCAAUAAGACUUAUGGCCACUCCAUUUAUAUUAGCCCUAAACUAAAAAAAGCCCAAAGUUCGGGAGUUCCCGUAGUGCUCAGUGGAAAUGAAUCUGACUAGCAACCAUAAAGACACAGGUUCGAUCCCUGGCCUCGCUCAGUGGGUUAAGAUCCGGCAUUGCUGUGAGCUGUGGUGUAGGUGGCAGACACAGCUAGGACCCUGCACUGCUGUGGCUAUGGGGUAGGCUGGCAGCUGUAGCUCCGACUGGACUCCUAGCCUGGAAACUUCCAUUUGCCAAGGGUGAAGCCCUUAAAAAAAAAAAAUCAAUAAAAAAGGAAUGACCUGUAGCUCCAUACAACAUGAUGAAUCUCAAAAACAUAAACACACAUGCAAAUGGAUCUAUUAAAAACUGGAAUACAGUGUGACUCCAUUAAUGCAAUUUCAAAAGUAUACAAAAUUUGGAUUUCUUGUUGUGGCUCAGCAGGAUAAG